CACACACCCACACACACACACACAAGCACACCCUCCACUUCCUGAGGAUGCCGGAGCGCUCUGUUACAGUUACAGUUAUAUCUGCAGGGAUGAGUCAUGGCCGUCCUGCAGGAGCAGACUGCCCGGGCAGACAGCUGCCAUCUGCUUAUCAGCAGCCAGCAUUCCCGCUCUGUCGCCAGGGGGGUGUGUGUUCCCGUACUGACACAAUGGGGCGGCGGGCCUUCUGCUGCCUGGAAAUCUCCACUCCAGGAGCCCCUACGUUUCUGGGCUGGAGACUGCUAAUGAUAAUGGAAUAUACUGUAAUUGUAUUGAAACAAAAAAAUAUCUUAAAAUAAAUGUUUUAGCAGAUGCUGCGUUAUAUUUACAUAUACAUGUUUUACAUAAAACAGUGUAAGUUAACAAUAGAAGGCUACUAGCUUUCCACGGAAGGAUGCAUCAGCGCAAAAAAUCUUCAAAAAAUAUCCAAGGCAGUCUCACCCCCAAGUUGGUAGGUUAAGUAAAAAGCUAAAUUUAUGAACGCAGUAAAACAGUGGAGCGCUGCCAGCCUCAUAUUGCGGUAUGUUUCAUUUCCAUAUGGAUUAAAGUCAGCCAGGCUGAGACUGUGGCUCACCAGAGGAGGCCUCAGGUAGACCCCAUCUCUGUGACCGGUGACCUCAUCACGAAUGCUGUAUAUCUGUGCCGACGGUCACGCAGUAGGGGAGAGACAUAUUUCAUAUCCUGGUGGUAACAAUGCCAUGUACUGUUCAUCACAAUAGCCUCAGCAGCAAGACCUGCCUUUGUCCUAUUGUGUCCCCAGAGUUCACCAUGCAGGAGCCUCUCCAUGGAUACCCAUGCAGAUAUUCUGAAGGUCAUGUGAUUGUGAGGCACAGGGCUAUUUUCGGCCAGCAGGAUACUGUGGGGCUUUGCAGUUCUUAAGGUGCUUUCCUUCCAUUUACAUAUUUUAUUUCCCCCAAACCUCCCUGUGUCUCCUUACAUUUUCAGAGGAAAACCUUGUCUCUCAGGUUUCUUCUGGUUUUUUAAUGCAUUUACUCAUCCAACCUGAUUGGAUUUUCUUUCACUUUAAACCUGGAUUGGGGAAGCCUUUCAGGUUUUCAAAGAAAAUUCAGUGGGCAUAAAGUGUAAGACACAAUUGUAUAAACUACACCGUGACUCUACGUUUAAACAUAAAUUCUAGAGCAUGGGAAUGAAAACUGAGACUAUUUGUGUGUUGCACUGCAUGACUGCUUCUGCACAUGCACAGCACCCUGUUGUAAUGUGUUAGCCAAUAGGUUUUAUCUGAUUGGCAUACUUUCCAGUCCAGCAGGAACUGCACAUUUAUUUCUGAUGUAAUGCAUGUUUCCCUCCCUGCACUGAAGACUACGACUCAAACCUGAAUGAUAGAACAGCAUGUCUUGCCAUGAAAUCCAUAUCCACAGUUUAACAGAAAGGGGCCUGGCCUACUCAGGAUGUGAUGUCAUAAAACAGCAGCACCGGAUCCCUCUUCCAGAUGACACUCUGUGUCAUCAUCACGCAAACUCAGGCUUUGUAAACAUUUGCAGGCAAGCAGGGGAAUCUGGGGAGACUGAAAUGUGCUCAUUUAAUCCCAGGCGGCUUUGUUUCCAUGGUGCCCUGUUCAGCGCCCUUUGUGACAAGAUUCUUGAGAACCACAUCAUGCCUCCUGGUGUUGCUGAAACCCAAGAGCAGCACCAUCCUUCUGUAUCGUCCUCUAUAAAGGGUGUCUGGAUGGUUGUCUGGAUUUGUGACUUUGUGAAGGCAGCAACACAAAUUACUUGGUUGAGAUGAGCUUGUGACUACUGUGCCUGAUAACACCAUCAAUUUGCCUCACCAAGGACAGUAUAAAACCAUUGUUCACCAGAAUGCAGGAGACUUCAAACCAACGGCAGUCUGCUCUCCUUCAUUUGGAUCAAGCCAAACAGCGCUCCCUCAAAGACAAAUGGCCUGCAACCUGAGCCUUUUAAAGCAGGCAACAAUGAGUUUCUGCUGUAUGCUCCCACAAACAAUAGGCCCCUUUAUUGCCACAAUCUCCCAGCUAAAAUCCACAAGGCAAAACCCUUUCUCCUUGCUGUGUUCCCGGCGGAGCGCGGUGACUGAGCUGCGGUCAGGAUCUUGCGCAGGCCUGGAGGUUUAUGGAACAGAGGCUUCAAGGACAUUCUCAGGGAGUGUGGCAUUGGGUAGUUAGCCUAAGGUAGCAUUCUCCAUUUGUGCACUUUACUGCAGCAAUUAAACAUUUACAGCAUAAAUCUCAAGCUCCCUAACAAAGUACAGGAAUUAUAAGUCAGAAGGAAUUUUCAUUUCUCCCAGUCCUUCACAGUUGUUCCCAGGCCGACCGAAUGAACAAAUAGCUGGGCACACACUGGUAAUGCAUUCAUUGUGUAACAAUUAGGGAGCAAAGUGCUUCAGUGCUCUCUCAAACGGUGUUAAGGAUAUUUCUGAUAAGUGCGUGGACUUUGCUACGUUCAGCUUUAUUGUUUGCACUUGCUGCUUGAUUGAACAGACAUAAUCUUAAAGUGCGCACUAGUGCGUGCAGCUUGCAACCUUGGCUUGGUCAGGGCACCACUGUGCUUAACUAAUGAUCAACUAAUGAUGGUUUCUCAGUAACCUUCAUGUCCUUCUUAGGCCUUUCCAAAUUGUGACUUUCCUGCGAUUAGCAACUGAGUAAGUUCACUCGACUGUCAACAAUGUUAGUUUUGCUUUUCAGAGGAAAAACCAAGCCCCUUACUUUUGUACAACAGUGUGCAAUAACCUUAAAUAUUACGCAAUGGCAGGCUAUAGCAUUUGUGGGUCAAUCAAUCAUGCUUUUCAGCCUGUUGUAAGCUUCAGCUGUAAACUCUGGAAAUUCCACCUGACUACAACACACACACACACACACACACAGUCACAUACAUACACACACCUACACACACACACACACACACACACACACACACACACAGGACCUUAAGCUGGCCAGUUUCCAAGGUCAAAUAAUACUACCAAACAAUGGCACUGCCAUUGAAGACCCAGAAGCACAGUGCAGUACAGUUCAAACCUGAGACUGCCUGUUCUCAGAGAUUGAGCACAUUAUCAACAUGUCUAUUGUCUGUGACACAAGCAUUAAGCACUGCCAGCAUUGUAAGAAGCAAUCCAGUAGUCUCUGCAUGAUGCAUUGUGUCGCACCUCUAAUAGGUCUAAUAGGUUUUUUGAAAUAAUUUACAGCAAGGCUUAGAAUUGAAAUUAAUUUAUUAAGAAAUCCCCACUGAAUAUUAUAUUCUAUAAUAGUUUUCAUACCAUUCAAGUAAAUCACUGAAAGAUCACAAGCACUGCAGCAAGCUCCCAAAGUUGUGCAGUUUGUCCAAAGUUGGCAAAGUUACAUAAUCUCAAAAGCUAAUUCAUCAUGAUAAGCGAACUGAUUAAAGUGAAUACGCUGUAGGUUCUUGUUUUAUGUUAGCUGAAUAUGGCUGUCAUCCCCAGUAAGAAGUAGCCAUGGGCUUGUGGGGACAUCUGCACCUCUGCACCUUGAACUGAUGCAAUUGUUGUACGUCGCUCUGGAUAAGAGCGUCUGCUAAAUGCCUGUAAUGUAAUGUAAUGUAAUGCAUGGUAAUUGUGGGAUCUUUCAGGACAUUCCCAGAACAGGUAUGUGAAGCUGUCUAGUGAAUUCAGAUUAUCAAGUACCAGCUACAAGGUGUAUUGUAAUAUCUUUCAUUUUUAAGUGGAUAUAAGAAAUCAAACAUAUGACGAAACAAGUUUAACAAAAUAUGAAGUGGUGUAUUCUAGGCAGUUUUGUUUUUUGCUUUUUGUUUUUAAAACAAUCUGUUAAUAAUAACCUAGCAUGUUCUUGUCACAUUAUCAUGAGCUUGAACUGCUGAAUUAACAACAAUAUUGACUGAAUUCCCUUGAAUGUGCCGCCAGUUUGCUUGUCAUGGAUGUUUUAAUAGAUAAUCAGAUUGUUUGAAUAAUUAAAGGCAGAAAUCUUUGAGAAUGAUCAUUUUGAAUUUAAGGAAGCCAUAAACGUGAAUAUCAGUAGAAAAAUGCUUUUUGGGUUAAAAUUUAAUUUUUCACUGUGGCAUUAUUGUACCUGAAUGUUAUUAUAAACAUACACCAUCUAAUAUUGUUUUCUUCCUUUCUCUUUUUCCCCUUCUCUCCAUCACUUUAUCCCUCUUCCUCUCUUUCUCACAGCAUGUCCAUGGCUUAAAAUCCAGUAAUAAUAGACAGCGCCACAAAUCUCUUCAUAGCAAUCAUAAUCAAGCAAUAUUACACUGUGGACCACUUAAGCCCUCUUAACAUUACCCACUGCGAUGCAGUAAGUGUGUUCAAGGCAUUAUUUGGCAGUCUCCAAACACAACAGAUGCCCUUAUUAUUACUAGAAAAAUGUGUAGUCGUGUGCUUGCGUCUUGAUUUGAUUCAGGUUUAUAACAUGCGGUCAGUUAGAUGACCUUCUCAAAGGUAUUUUUUGUGUGCAUGUAAAAAUCUGAAAGGACUUUAAAUGUGCAUUUUUCUUGAAGUAGGAAUAAUUCAAUUCUCCAACAGUGGCUUGGACCACUUACAGUAUGUUGGGUUGUCACAUUCUGUCUGCUAUAUGUUUGAAGUGAGAGUGUGAAAUCCAAUAGUAAGAGUUUUCCAGGCCACUUGACACUUAAGCACAAGUCACUCCCUGGUUUGACUAUACUGUUAAAUUAAACAUUUGAACCUGCUGGUUGUCAAACAAGUUUGGACAAUUGCAAUCAAUCUAAACCUCAGAUUAAAUUCCUUUUUUUGUCAGAACUGCGUUACAAGUUGGUAACACAGUAUUUUAGUUUUUUUUUGUUUGUUUUUUUGACAGUCAUGCCACAUGAACCACCUGCCUGGAAACUAGUGACUGCAUGAUUGAUAGAAAUGUAUCCAAAAAAAAAAAAACAUGCAUCUGUGUUUUGUUUAGCCAAUUAGUUAUACACACAAGCUUCUGAAAUGAUAUAUUUCCAUGAAUCAUUGUCCAGCAAAAUGUGAACAAAAUGUUCAAAUACAUUCCAUUGUUAAACACACAGAAGAUAAGCACAUUAUUUACGUAUCUCGGGUAUAUCUUGAAAAUAGAUUCACCACCACAGUUCCACAGAGUGUAAAAUAAGAUUUGUGUUUUCUGGAUUAAUUGUACUGAGAAAAAAAUGUGUGAUUUUCCAAAGGGGGGUCAAAAUCCUUUCUGAUCGCUAAGGAUCAGAAAAAUCUUAGAUUCAGAUGUUUUUCUGGUGUCCCUUUGCUUUUAUAAAAUACACUACGAGGGUGCGACCGAAAGCGCUUACACUUAGCUUUAGAGCUAAGCUCUGGCUGUGUAGAGAAAUAGACGGAUAUCCAGGAGGAGGUCUAGAUCUCUCCAAAUCCAUGUCUCUGAAAAAACACUUUUGUAUGAUCAUUUAAGCAAAAUGGUCAGAAACACAGGAUUAACCAUAUUUCAAAACUGUAAACACUGAGAUGCAAACUGCAAGGCCUACACAAUCAUUGCUUUUCAUUUUGAUUACAAUCCACUAGCAGUUCAUUAUUUAGCCAUCAGCUGCUGCAUUUGUCCAACAUAAUUUGAGUCCAAAAUAAUAAAGCUUCAUUCCUUUGACACAAGAACAAUAAAACCAGUCCUCGGCAGUACACAACAAGGUAAUGAGAAGCCAGUGGUAAUGGGAAUAACACUUAACAAUGAUCUUUUACUGCAGUGGUGGCUAAAGAAGAGAAUGAUAAAGCAAGAUAAAAUGUGUUGUAUACACAGAAUAAAAAUCAGGUUUACAGUAUAGGUAGCGAUAGAGGUUAGGUACAUGAUAUGCAGCUGCCAGUUUCCUGCUUUUUAUUGACUUCCAUGUCAAUAAUAAAGAACACAGUGCCCUCAUAAUGCAAUGCCAUCUAAAAAGCCUUUAUCAGGAGUAUACAAUGCUCUGCACCAAUGAAAUCUGUGGAGACACAAGUCAAUAUCUAUUGGCUAGUUUCAGAAAUUAAAUUUGUGCUUCACUAAUGGUUAGUUAUAAAUACACAUGCAAUUAAUCUGUUAAAUAUGUUUUCGAGAAAUAUUACUUUGGACCUUACAUUUUUCCAAGACAAUUUAUAUUGCAAAAAACAAAAAAAAAAACAAAAACAAAUAAAAUCAUGAUUCAGAACCCUAAAUUCCACAGGGAGAUCUAUGCUGGUGAAGGAUGAGAGACUCAGAGGGGUCACUCUAUGCUAUAAGGCUUUCUUCACUGUCGUCUGGACUCUGGAGAGGUGUUCCUUUUGGCACCCUGAAUCCAGAUGUCACUUUAUGCCACGGUGACACAUACGCGCAUCAGUGUGUCAGCCUUCUCCCCAGUCCUGGUCACACCAGGCUGGGCGGUAACCUGGGAUCACCGUCCCCCAACGGCUCUUUAACAGGGUCACAAGGUAGGCCUCUGUCUUGUGAUGCAUCCAGACACAGGACCGGAUGACAAGACGCUACUGUUAGCAGUAGCUAUUCCCCCCACUGGCCAGCUGCUCGGCUUCACUGAAGGGCCAUGUUUCCACUGGGUGCUGUCCCUGUGGAAAGCAUAGAGUCACUGCAUUGCAUUACGCCCUGUCUCCAUUCAUAAAACCCGUUCUGAAACAAAGCCAAUGACCAUAAAGUUGUGAACUGAACAUCCCAAGCCUUGAUAAGCCUGAUAAGCCUUCUGUUAUUUUCCGUCCUUUUCCUGUUCUCUCGGUCUGUUUAUCUUUGUCACCUACCAAGAGCAAACCUACAUGUAGCCCUGCCCUGCCACACCCUAGCUACAGCCAAUGAAUGAUCGAGAAAUAUCAAUACAUUAUUUAAAGUGGUAAGCAGGAAGAUUGAGCACCCUUUUCUUUUGUUUCUUUUAUAGGAGGGCUUUUUCUGUUAUUCCAUUCAAGGACCAUGAUUUAUAAUGGAAUUGCAUCCACAAUCGCAUUCCCAGUAAAAUUAUCUGACUGUACCACUGAAACAGGCUGGUAAUUUCUUCCAUUUUAGAUGCAUGUGGAGAUGUUAUCAUGACACAACAAAUAGAAUCACAUGCAAUGCUUUUCUCAUUUCAAUAAUUAGCUGAAAAAUAUCUGUCAAUGAAAUCUGUAAAAAAAAAAAAAAAACAUUGUGAUAAUGGUAAUUAUUUACACAUUAGAUAUACAACACUCACAAUAAAAUAAUCUUGGAGCAAAAUCUUAGUACAACAUGUACCAUUAGGAACAGGCAAAUGCUACAUUCAGAUAAGAUGUACGUUGUGUUCAUCAGUGUUUUCUAAACAAAAUAUCUAAACAUAUUCAUCAACUUGUUAUAUUCUAAAUAGAAUAGUUAGAUGAUACAUGUAAUUACAUCCAUUCUUUCUGCAGGAGACGCUUAACAUAAGGGUACAUGACAAGAGUUUAAUGUUGGGGGGGGUGAGUUAGCAUUUUAUUUUCUUCUCACCUACAAUAUUUACAUCUGUAACAGAAUUGGACAAAGGCCGUGUGGUUAUAGCUUCAUUUAAAGUGAUUAAACUUAAAAAUAAAAUUCAAGAAGUCAAUCGGUAGAAAAAAAAAACUAAUAUUAUACCUUUCAUUAUUGAUAUGCAAAAAAAGAAUCCUGUCAUUUUAAUUGCUUAUUGUCUGCAUUCUUGAUAAAACUGGGAGCAUGAGGACGUACAGUAUGGACAGAGAUGUUUCCUUUCCUCGUGGUUUGGAAAACCCCUGUUAACAAUAGCAGAGAAUUUAUUGUGUCUAAUUAAUUUUCAUUACCUUUAUAUAAAUAUCCUUCACAACUGAAGUCUUAUUAGGAGCAGGAUAAGUCAAACACAGUAGAUAGUUCUGUUUUGAACUGAGAGCUGUUCAGGCUGUGAGCUGUGCAAGCAUAUGAAAUAAAUAAAUAACUACAGAGACCGGUGGUAACCAUGGCAGCAGCCUCUCAUAGGACAUUCCCAUUCGACCCUGUUGCUUUGAUCUCUGGACAACCAGAGGAGCGUUACAUCAUCAAUGGAAGCUAUUGGAUAUUGGUACGGAUGCUCUGCUGUGGCCUUAAUGAUUAUGGCAAACUGCAGCUAGCGCCAGUGGCACGCUCAUCUAUUCCGUAGUCCCUUUGAGUGCCUGGGCUGUGAUUACUGCCCCGGCUGACGUCCUUUAGCCUGUUGUAAUGAAAGGAAACACUUUUAAGCCCCUUUUCUUUUAUGACACAAAGGAGGAACCCAUGAAUGAAACAUUCAUUGUUGGUUUGAGCAAUGUGGCGUGAGCACGAAGCAGAGAAGUGUGUGACCUCAUCAGCAGCUUUUGCCUGUUUCAUCACUUUAUGUGGAGCUGCAUUGGAGAGAGAGAGUUAUAAACAAAUAGUGCCAUUUAUACUAUUUGUAUACACUAGAUUCACACCUUAAUUAAUGUUAUUUGUUUCUUCUUUGCACCAUGUGCAUUUGUUUUUAUUAUUAUUGUUAUUAUAGUGUUGUGGGUCAUAUUUAUUACAUGUUGUUUCCAUGUUUCUGUGACUUACAUUUGUUGCUUUGGCAAGCUGUAGGUAUCCUGCCAAUAAAUCAUAGCAAAAUUGAAAUUGAAAUUGAAAAUUGAGAAAUAAUAUGCAGAACAGGGUUCUCAAUUAGCUAUUAAAUGUCUUAAUAUUUGCACAUGCACGCUAAAACACCCCAAGAACCUGCAAGCACUGUUGCCCACAACAGUGGAGUUUCAGUUAUCUGGUGAAAAGUAUACUACAACAGAAUGUACCAUACACAGCUGGCAGCAUUCUGGAGAGUGCAUCUGGACAGAGGUGAGAUGGCUUUUCAUCAGGCACUUACCAAACACUGGGAGUAUGUUCCGCAGAGCCAAGGUAUCAUUUGCAGACAGAAUGACUUUGGUUU